rnacentral:rRNA from 1 species
AAAGAGUGCGUAACAGCUCACUGGUCGAGUGCACCGGCGCCGACAAUGUAACGGGGCUAAGCCUGCCCCCGACGCUGCGGGUGUAGUCAUUUGAUUACGCGGUAGGGGAGCGUUCCACGGGCGUUGAAGGUAGAUCGUGAGGACUGCUGGAGCGCGUGGAAGUGCGAAUGCCGGCAUGAGUAGCGUAUUGACCGUGCGAACCGGUCACACCGGAAGCCUAAGGGUUCCUGAGGACGGUCCAUCCACUCAGGGUUAGCCGGGCCUAAGCCAAGCCUAGUAGUAAGCUAGGGUAGGCGAUGGACAACGGGUUGAUAUUCCCGUGCCACCAUUAGAUCGUUUGACCGAUGCGGGGACCCGGUAGGUAGUUGCCCGCGAAUCGUUGGCUUGUUCGUGUAAGCCUGUGACGCGCUGGGGAGCGAAGUUCUUCCUGGCUAAGGGUGAGACCCUGAGCGUGAGAGGGGAUGCCGAGAGUGCGGCUUCGGCCAAUCUCAAGGGGUAACGGGCCACGCCGGCAAGAAAAGCCGCUAGGGAGAUCUUUUGGUGCCCGUACCGCAAACCGACGCAGGUAGGCUGGGAUGAAGGUCCCGAGGUGAACGGGAGACCCUCAGCGAAGGAACUCGGCAAAUUGGCCCCGUACCUUCGGAAGAAGGGGCGCCACUUGGUGUGUAGGCCCUCGCGGCUCGAAGCACCUGGGUGGUCGCAGGGAACUGGCUCAACCGACUGUUUACCAAAAACACAGGUCUCCGCGAAGUCGUAAGACACCGUAUGGGGGCUGACGCCUGCCCGGUGCCAGACGGUUAAGAGGAGGGGUUCACGCUCUGAAUCGAAGCCCUGGUGAACGGCGGCGAUAACUAUAAUCGUCCUAAGGUAGCGAAAUUCCUUGUCGGGUAAGUUCCGACCCGCACGAAUGGCGUAACGAGUUGAGCGCUGUCUCCGCUGAGGACCCGGCGAAAUUGCAGUGCCCGUGCAGAUUCGGGCGUCCUGUGGCAGGACAAAAAGACCCCGUGGAGCUUUACUCCACCUUGCCAUUGCGCCGCGACCGUGCAUACGUAGGAUAGGUGGGAGGCUUUGAAGGAGCGCUUUUGGGCACUCUGGAGCCGACGGUGAAAUACCACUUUUGCGUGGCUGUGGCGCUCACGCGUUGAGCUAUAUCGCUAACGCGGACCCUGGCAGGCGGGGAGUUUGACUGGGGCGGUCGCCUCCCAAACAGUAACGGAGGCGCCCAAUGGUCUUCUCAGCGCGGAUGGUAACCGCGCUCCCUAGAGUGUACGGGCAGAAGAAGGCUUGACUGUGAGGCGGACGUGCCGAGCAGGUGCGAAAGCAGGGCCGAGUGACCCUACGUCCCCUAGUGGACGGGACGUGGAUUAACGGAUAAAAGCUACCCCGGGGAUAACAGGCUUAUCCUGCCCAAGAGUUCACAUCGACGGCAGGGUUUGGCACCUCGAUGUCGGCUCGUCGCAUCCUGGGGCUGUAGUCGGUCCCAAGGGUUGGGCUGUUCGCCCAUUAAAGCGGUACGCGAGCUGGGUUCAGAACGUCGUGAGACAGUUCGGUCUCUAUCCGCCACAGGCGUUGGAUACUUGACCGGAGCGGUCCCCAGUACGAGAGGACCGGGACGGACCAACCGCUAGUGCGCCAGUUGUCUCGCCCGAGGCAUCGCUGGGUAGCUACGUUGGGAAGCGAUAAGCGCUGACAGCAUCUAAGCGCGAAGCGCACCGGAAGAUGAGGUAUCCCUGCAGAGGUGGGUAACUGCUUCUGUGAGAGUCCCCCUGGAGAUCACAGGGUUGCUGGCCGGCAGGUGUAAGCACAGUAAUGUGUUCAGCCAAGCCGGACUAAUGGACGAUGGGCUU